UAGGGAAUCUUCGGCAAUGGGGGGAACCCUGACCGAGCAACGCCGCGUGAGUGAAGAAGGUUUUCGGAUCGUAAAGCUCUGUUGUUAAGGAAGAACGAGUGUGAGAAUGGAAAGUUCAUACUGUGACGGUACUUAAUCAGAAAGCCACGGCUAACUACGUGCCAGCAGCCGCGGUAAUACGUAGGUGGCAAGCGUUAUCCGGAAUUAUUGGGCGUAAAGCGCGCGUAGGCGGUUUUUUAAGUCUGAUGUGAAAGCCCACGGCUCAACCGUGGAGGGUCAUUGGAAACUGGAAAACUUGAGUGCAGAAGAGGAAAGUGGAAUUCCAUGUGUAGCGGUGAAAUGCGCAGAGAUAUGGAGGAACACCAGUGGCGAAGGCGACUUUCUGGUCUGUAACUGACGCUGAUGUGCGAAAGCGUGGGGAUCAAACAGG
rnacentral:rRNA from 1 species